UACGUAGGGCGCAAGCGUUAUCCGGAAUUAUUGGGCGUAAAGAGCUCGUAGGCGGCUUGUCGCGUCGUUCGUGAAAUCCUGUGGCUCAACUACAGGCUUGCGGUCGAUACGGGCAGGCUGGAGUUCGGUAGGGGAGACUGGAAUUCCUGGUGUAGCGGUGAAAUGCGCAGAUAUCAGGAGGAACACCGGUGGCGAAGGCGGGUCUCUGGGCCGAUACUGACGCUGAGGAGCGAAAGCGUGGGGAGCGAACAGG
rnacentral:rRNA from 1 species